rnacentral:lncRNA from 1 species
UAAGUCUUAAGGUCACCAGACUAGUCGCUUGGGUAUGCAACACAGAUAGGUAGUUGUCUUGUCAAGCAAGCAUGGUUGCGUCCAAUUCUAAGAGUGUGUAAUGACUCUCUAUAAAAUAUAAAUUUCAUCGUGCAUUUUUUGAGAAUAGAGCAUAAUGAUGUGUUUCAUUGCUUUGAGCCAGCAUGCUGCUGAGACAUCGUCUAUUUAUUUUUUUUUAUAAUAGGCGUGGUGAUUGGGACGUUACUGACUUUGAACCAGGAAGACAUGGAUUCUUACUCGCAAAGGAUUGUAAUCGGAACACUGCAAGGCCUCGCAGCUGGCACCAUUCUGUAUGUGACAUUUUUCGAGAUGCUCGACAAGCAGAGACUCAGGAGACUGGUAUAGUGCGAGCUGGCUUCAUUCUAUGCGGUUUUAUCAUCAUGCUGUUUUUUAGCGUCAGAGGUGGUCACACCCACGCUCGACUUGAUGAGAAGAAUCUUUUCAGCCCUUGCAAUUAUUCAAAUGAUCAACAAGAGCCUCAAAUCAAAAGAUGGACGAUCCCUGAUUGCGGCAGUUCAUGUAAAGUGCACGGAGGCGUUUCAGGAUGGAAACUGAGAAAAUUAACGAGGGGCCUUUGCAAAAACUUCAUUUCCUUAACAAGAGCACAAAUCAAACAGAAAACACAUGGCGAGGAUUCUGCCGGUUCUCUCAAGGAUAACUGUGAUAUUGACAAAUAAGAAAAGUUUCUUAACUGAUUCUUUUAAAAUAUCGUUUAAUAGUUAGGUCUAAGAGGUCUCAAAAUAUAUGUUGAACAUGUAACACUUAAAAUAGUUCAAAUUAAUAUAAAAAAAGACACUUAAAAGAAAAUGGAUUCUUUCUUCUGAAAGUAAUAACAAAAAGGGGGAAAAUUGAGAGAAAAAAGAAGGAAAAACGCUUGACUAUGAAAGGGUAGAAACUGAUAAAGAAAGGGCCUUAAUAAGUACAUAGAACUCCACCUGCCGUGCUAAAGAAAAACGUUGUUUAUACAUCCAGAUGUACCAAAAUUUCUCCCUAUAAAACAUUCAUUUUUGAGGAAAUUAAUGAAUAUUCUUCGAUGGAAAUUUUCAGAUACUCUACAUACGUGACUGAUGAAAAAUUUAGAAAAAAAAGUACAUUAGUUCCUCGAAAAUUCGUAUUUUUUUAAAGAAAAUUUAGCAACGCCUGAAAACUCAUACGGCGUUUUUCCUUGGCAAGCAGUCAUACUCACUAGAUUUUUGCAAGACGGAACCAUGAGCACUACAUUAUUGCUGAGACUGUGCAACAUCCUUCAUCAUAUGAGAGAAUCCAAAAAUGUUGUCAGUUUCGGUUUGAACCAAACCAUAUUUUAUUUAUUUGUAAAUUAUAGUAAAUUACUGUUUUUAAUUCUCUUCUGCUUUGCGUUUCAUUAUAUUACUAAAAUAGAUGCUGUCUCAGCAACUGGCAAUACUUUUGAUUCUUUUUUACAAAAAAACAGGUAGUGUAUAACAUUAAAAUUUGUAAACAACCAAGUAACAAGAAUGCGUGUGAAAAAAUUAUCAUAACCUAAGAAAUUUUCAUACUGACUGCAAAAUAACAGUAAUGAGCUCUUGUUAAUUAUAUACAAGGAUACAUAACAUAUUUAUGAGUGAGGAUUAAUUGGUAUGGUGGAAAAUUUUUGCUGUACAAAAUGGUAUGCAUCUCCUGUUGUAAUUAUUCUUCUUUCAGAUUUAUUGAUUUAGUUGCCUUUUAAUGCCUUCAAGAGCUACUAAACACGGAAUAAAGGACAAGGCACACAAUACAAUAAAUUCGGCGCCAGACUGAAUUCCAUAUUUUUUAUAGGAUGCUCUUCACGACCUCCUGUGCACAAUGAGCCUUAUGUGUCAAUCUCAAUAAGAGGAAGGUUGCAAAGUUAACUUCUGGCCAUUUACUAGGGUUGCCACAGAAUAUAGAGAAUUGAAUUACCCUGACACAUUUUGCUAAAAUUUCCUGACAAUGGAUGAUGUGCCAGAUGGUUAAAAAGACAUGAUUUGAAAUUUUGAAAUGUCAGACCCUUCUAGAAAGCAAAUAUAAGUGACUUUACAAUUUUUCCCUGACAUUUACCGGUUUUCCCUGCCUGUUGCAACUUGGUUCACAAGGAUUUUUUUUUCUUAUCAAUUAAGAAGGUGGGACUGUUGCAUUGUGUGUGGCCACUGCGCCACUUGCUCUACGCUAUAAAUUUGAUUUUUAACACCUGCAUUAUCCCUGGCUUGCAAGGGAACAAAAGAUAUCCUCAGUCACCGAUAAGAUGUUGCAACAUCUCCAACUAACUAUUGCAUGUAAAUAUGCCAAAAAAUGCAAUUUUCAGCCCCCUUUCUUGAGAUUGGCACACAAAAAUUUCAGUUUUUUAAAAUGCUCAUUGUACUUGGGAGCCAAUGAGGAACAUCAUAUAAAACAAAUACCAAAAUUAGUUCAUAAGCCUGAAAUUCUUGCAGGAAUUUCUACAUUUCAAUAGAGGGGCAUCUCUAAAGUUAGCUUGCAUCAGUAUUCCUAAUUUGCAUCACAUAUUAAAUAAAUGUUGCUGAACUAAGCGGAUAAAGUAUAAAAACUAAAGAGAAAACGUUUCACUGAAAAAACAGAGGAGAAAUACAAUGAUAAGCAGACAAAGAGAAGUCAACCUUUAAAACAAGUAUUUGAUACUAAGUUACUGUGUAAAACAAUGAAAAUUAAUUGCAAGUUCAAGAAAUUCUAGGAAAAAUGGCAACAUGGGUAAAAGAACCAAUAUCGAAAAACAUAAAUUGAAGAGCCUAUCCAUUGUUAUGUUAGAUUAAUAUGUACCUCAAAUAAAAAAAUGGUAUCUUAAAAUAAAAAUAAGACUAAAGAGAACAGCAAUAAUUUGCAGGGAUAAAAUAAGAUAAAGGACAUUUAUCUUGGUGAGCUAAAAUAAUUAAAUCAUACAUCUAGGGAGACAAGUACAUUUUUACUUGUGAUGAAUCAGAGAUCAGUUUGGAUAUUUCAAGAAGAACUUACCGUUUAAAUUUAAGGUCUGAAAUUAAAAGAGACAAUGACUACGAUAACUAUUUUUGUCAGACAUUUUAAAAUUCUAUAAUUGUUUUGGUUUAUUCUCGACCAGUGUGUUCUCAUCCAGUGGGUUAGAAGGCUACCUGUCCUUUUUUCUGGGCAAAAAAACCAUGAAAAGAAGUGAGUUUUGAAAUUUAGAUGGUGUGAUACAAGAUUAGUUCCCUAUCAUCGUUUAUAGAUCUUGUGGGAGUAAAAGGUUUUAGUUUAAAACGAUCUUAAAAACUUGUCCCUAAAAAACACCUAAUUCAGAGAAAAAACUUUAGAAAAGAGAACCUGCUAAAGGCAAACAUUUUUUAUAACAACAGAUUUCCAUGGAAGUUAGCAGGCAAUCCGUACUCAAAAAUUGAAAAUUAAAAUAGAAAACUCAUACUCAUUAUAAACCAGAACCCUGUUUAUGAAGGCAAGUUUUGUAAGUAUUUUUAAUUUUUUUAUGGGUUUAACAAACACGCUUCCUCAAAAUAAUGAUAAAUGCGUCAAAACUUUAAAAAAUUAGCCAAUUUGUGCUUUCAACUUAGUUAAAGAAAUUGAUUACUAUUUUAGAGAAAAAAACUUCCUAACUAAGACGGAAAACAGUGCAAACACUAAAUAUUUCCUCAUUUGAACUUAAACAGCUUUAAAAGUAAGUUUAUAACAUGUGAAAACCUGAGAAUAUGAAUACACAUACAAUUGAAAUUAGAGGUAUGAGAGUAAUCAUUGAAAUUGCUAGAGUCAAACUACGAGGGUCACACGAAAAAAAUGAGACUUUCUCCAAUUUUUCCAGAAACUAUUGAUGUUAAAAAAACACAUAAUCGCAAUAUUUGAUUGAUCAUUUUCUUUGGAUUUGAGUUAUAUUUUCUUCAAUUGAGACAAGAAGAACGCCCAGGAAAUGGAUUUUCUGCCUUUCCAAUCAUUAAUUUCAUCAUCAAAUCUGUUCGUGCGACACAAGCACUGAAUAAAAUCAGUUUAGUUCUAACAUUAGCAGUUUCGUUGAAAAACACGGAUAGACUACAAGUGGUGAAACAAUCAUUGACUUACAUAAAUAUAUAUGUAAAAUAAUGACUAGAUAAUAAGUUUUUUAAACUUCUUUAAACGAGCUCAAACAGCACCUAUGAAAUUUAGGUACCAGUGUGUUGUGUUCAGGAGUUUCCUGCAUUGUCCUCCAUAUACAUUUCAGUUGACGAUGAACUUGAUUCACAGCUAGCAAGCUCUGGGAGCAAUCUUUGUUACUAGAUCAGUUUUCGUAUCACAGCUUGUGGCUUCGACAGGAGGAUCCUGAUUGAGGCUGAGUCUUCCUCCAUUGAUUCAACUUUAUCGAUCGAUGAGGAGGAGUGUCGAUUCUUUCCUCUUCUUAUUCCCUGAUGUUAAAAGAGAGGGGGAGAAAAAGAUAUUAAAGGUGUUAAUAUGAAUGAUUCUUGAAUAAUUACAGUGGUAAACAACUCAAAACUAGAGUGAUGAAUACAGUGAAAAUUAACUUAUUGAGGUAAGCCAUCAUACACUUGGAAUUUUUGAAUUGAACAUUUCCAAAAUACAUUUUUAUAUAUUUGUCAUGGUGGUUACAACUGCAAUUUUGCAAUGUUCAGAAGGCUUUUAAAUGUUGCAGAUUCUUUGAACAGGUUUUUCAUUCAUUCAUCCAAAUUAAGCAUGUACUUAGUAUGUUUGACAAAUUUUAACUAAUUUCCGAAACUUAUUUUUAAAUUCUGCGAUUGCAUGAAUCGGACCAUUGUUCAGUACAAAUAUGACUGGAAAUGAGAAAAAACACAUAGGAAAUGACUCAAACUGUACGAAACAAGGUUGGCAGAAAUGGCAGAAUUCGUUUUACAUUUUUUAUGUGAUUUCAUGGUGUGCUUACAACACAAUACCUUGUUUCCAAUUUUCUGAACAGCUUAAUUUAGAAAUAAAAAAUAAAAACAUUUUUUC